rnacentral:lncRNA from 1 species
AAUAGCUGAUGGAAAAUAAAGAACAAAGGCAAAGCCUGUAAAAUACAUAAUAUAAUUCAGUAUUGUAUUAUUUGUAUUAUAUGUAAAAAUUAGAGUCAAUCAAAAGUGUAGUAAACAUUUUUCGUAAGAUUAUUGACAUACAUGUUACAAAGUAUAUUUUUACAAUCCUUUCUAUAAAGUUACAACCUGAAUAAAAUUUAUUUUUAACGAUUUUAAGGUUUGACAGACAUGCACAAAUUGUUGGCAUUUUUUAAACAAAUAAAAGUAGGAAAUAAAUAAAGUUGUAGGUACUUUCAAGAAAUAUAGUUAACUGUAAGUGCUGUAUUUUAAUAAUCUGUCAAAAAUCAAAAUCAUCAGGAUAAUAUUAGGUAUUGAUUUUCAAACAAGAAUUAGAUUACAGCGAUGGUCAAAAGCAUUUAGAUAUUGCUUUGAAAUCUACAGAUAAGGUAUGGCAGUUUCGUUUUAAAGAACAAGAUGUUAAAGUUUAUGAUAAAAUUGUCAUCAGAAAUACUGUCCACUUGCAGUAUUUACAUAGGAAAAUGUUGGAGGAUGAAGCUCUACCUACUGUCUCAGGUUAAUUUAAAUUCUUUAAGAGUUGCAACAACAGCAACAAGCAAGAAGGGCACCAUUAAAUGAAUAUUAUACACAUAAAGCAACAACAGAAUAAAAAACCAAAAUAUGAACACCAGCAACUAAAACAGGAACCAUUAAAUGAAUAUUAUAUACAGCAAUAACAGCAUCAAAUAAUGGAAAUAAUGGACCUUAUUGCACAAAUCAAAAACAAAAUUUCAGCAUUACUACUUUAUUGGUUAUAUCAAUAAAAGAAA